CGGGAUUUGAAAACUAAAAUGGCGGACGUUCGAGGUGUACUCCAGCUCUGUGACCCGGUUCUCCUGAACCUCCAUAUGGACUCGGAUCAGCUGGACUCUGCUGAAUCGGCCCGGAUGGUGGUCUACCUCAUGGACAGUCGCCGGGUCCAGAAGGUUCUGUUCCGUCAGCUGUU